rnacentral:tRNA from 1 species
AAACUUAGGCUAGCAU